rnacentral:rRNA from 1 species
CCCUUAGAUGUUCUGGGCUGCACGCGUGCUACACUGAUUAUUUCAACAAGUGUUUUAACUGGAGAGUUUGCGUAAUCCUGAAAUGUUAUCGUGAUGAGAGUAGAGUAUUGUAUUUGUUAAUCUUUAACGAGGAAUUCCUAGUAAGUGUAGGUUUAUAAGUUGUUCUGAUUACGUCCCUGCCCUUUGUACACGCCGCCCGUCGCUCCUACCGAUUGAUUGAUCCGGUGAAUUACAUAGAAUUUUGCGUUUUACAUGACGGAAGACGAAGUGUUUUAAACCUUAUCAUUUAGAGGAAGGAGAAGUCGUAACA